UCCACAACAGACCUCUCAGCUUUCUGACUCUCUCAAACGAUUCAAAACCCUAGGGGUCGUGACUCCGUAGCUGCCAGGCUUACCUCUCCAGCCCCUCCCUCCGUCCGUUGCAUCCGCUCCCCUCUCCAAGCACUUCAUUGCAUACCUUCCCCUUCUCCAGCCCAUCCGUCGCAUACCCUCCCACAAACUAGCCCCUUCGUCGUGAUUCGCAGCCCCUGCCAGGCUACCCUCUCUAGUCCCUCUGUCGCUUCCUGGCAUCAAUUUGAAGCAUACCAUUCCCAGUACUGCUGUUGCUACUAUAAGUCGUGCUCAUUCAGAAGAUGAGUGUCAUCCACUUUCUCUAAAUUAGUUACAUAAAGUUUGACCUAAUUAGUCUAGAAUAUUCUUUCCCCUUUCUAUUUCUGUUUUACUUGUUGCACUGACACCAACUAUUGGUUCUGUUGUUAGGAUAGAGGUAGCUGAUUCUGUGAUGCAGACUACUCAAAUUGCUGUAUAUAUAUUUUUGGUUUUCCUGUAUAAAAGGCAUGAUUGAAUCGAAUACAGAAGAAAAUUUUUCCUCCUCUUGCCUUCUUUUCCCUUUUCUUACAUGGUAUCAAGAGCCCAGGUUUGUUUCUUGCUCUUGAUUUCCUUUUUACUUCUUCUACAAUGGAACAACCAAAGAUGACACAAAAACCCCUUCCCCCUUCCUCAAUUUUAGUGAUCCAAACAACCCGUACAGAAUUGAUAGUGGAGACAAUACCACCAUCACACUCGUAACUGACCUUCUUACAUAAGAAAACUAUGUGACUUGGUCCUGAGCCAUGCGACGGGCCCUCAGAGCAAGGAAUAAACUAGGUUUUAUCAAUGGUAGCCUCUGCAAACCUGCUUCAUCUAAGGAUACCUUAUUUAGUGCAUGGGAGCGAUGCAACGACAUGAUUGUGACUUGGAUUCAGAACUCCAUCAGCACCACAGUGAAGUCAAGUGUAGCCUUUGGGGAUGAACUCGCUGUGUAUGAUCCAAUGCCUACCUGCACAUGUGGACAACUAACCAUUAUGAAUGCUAGAUAUCAAAGGGACAACGUAAUCCAAUUUCUCAUGGGAUUAAAUGAUAAGUACUCUAAUGUUAGAGACCAGAUUAUGAUGAUAGACCCAAUUCCUUCUGUUAAUAAAGUUUUCUCACUUAUACAGCUGCAAGAACAACACCACCAGAUCAUAUCUGCUUUCCCAAACCCUGAGUCCAUGGCCUUAGCCACCCACUGUCGCAUACAAGGACAUACCCUUGAGACUUGUUUUAAAGUUGGAAAUGCACAAGUGCCUAGCUAUACUCAUUGUAAGCAAAUUGGUCAUGUAGCUGAAAAAUGUUAUAAGCUACACGGUUACCCUCCAAGUCACAAGUUUUACAAGGGGAAGAAUGUUGGAUCCUAUGUUAAUCAAGUGAGUCUAAUUUCAGAUUCUAACUAGGAAGAAAUUAAUGAAAACCAAGUGAGUUUCACUAAAGCACAAUAUUAGCAGCUUAUGGCUUUACUUCAAAGCAAGGAUACUUCGACUGCUUGCCCUUCUGUGAACUAUGCUCAAGUUAUUCAUCAACCUGUGAGCCAAAAGCUUCCAAAAUCUAUGGCAUUCCUUUUGCCCUUUCAUCUUUUGCACGUAAAUCCAUUUAUCAUACUGAUAUACCUUGGAUCAUAGACUCGGGUGCAACAGAUCAUAUGAUAUGUAGUACUACAUUUUUUUCUUCAAAUAUUUCCAAGGUUUCAUACUCUGUUAAACUCCCAAAUGGAACCUCUAUUCCUGUUAGUCACCUAGGGAAUGUGCAAGUCACUAAUAACAUCCUACUAAAGGAUGCUUUAUGUGUACCUUCUUCUUGUUUCAAUUUAAUUUCAGUAAAAAGACUAACAAAAUCACUUACCUGUUGUUUGGUUUUUAUGUCUAAUCACUGUUUCAUCCAGGACCUUUCCACUUGGACAACGAUUGGGAUGGUUGAAGUCAAAGGCAGCCUAUAUCAUCUCUUGCCGGUGGUUAUCUAUCCAAAUGCCUUUAUUGAAGCCUUAUCUUCCUUACCCUUUAACUCUAAACCUUUUGCUGCUUCUGUCAUGACUGGUAGUAAUAGUUCUGAACUUUGGCAUUGUCGCCUUGGUCAUGCCUCAAAUUCUAGAUUGGUUUUGAUUGAUGAUUCAAAUGUAAAAAGACAAUUUCAAUGUUAGUAAAAUUUCUCCUUGUCCAGUUUAUCCUAUUGCUAGGCAACACAGAAAUUCUUUUCCUAUCAGCCAUCACAAGUCUACUUCUAUUUUUGAUUUAGUACAUGUUGACAUUUGGGGCCCAUGUUCAAUACUUGCCUAUGAUGGAACCAAGUAUUUUCUGACUCUUGUAGAUGAUUUUUCAUGAACAACUUGGGUUUAUUUACUGCAUGCAAAAUCAGAAACUAGAACUUACAUUGAAUCAUUUUAUAAUAUGGCAGCAACCCAAUUUGACACCAAAAUCAAGUUAUUCGAAGUGAUAAUGGGGCUGAUUUUCAAAUGGUUGAAUUUUUUAAUAAAAAAGUCAUCAUUCACCAACGUUCUUGUGUUGAAACACCUCAAUAAAAUGGCAUUGUUGAGAGAAAACAUCAACGCAUUCUUAAUGUUGCAAGAGCAUUAAGUUUUCAGUCAGGAUUACCUUUACAUUUUUGGAAUGAUUGCAUUUUGACAACUGUCUAUCUUAUUAAUAGAACUCCUACCCCUAUUCUUGACAGCAAAACCUCAUAUGAAAUUUUAUUUUCCACUAAACCUACAUACCAUCAUCUUAAAGUUUUUGGAUGCUUGUGUUUUGCAACUACCUUGUCCCAUGGUCGUAAGAGAUUUGAUCCAAGAGGCAAAAAAUGCAUGUUCCUAAGCUAUCCUUUCGGGGUCAAGGGAUAUAAGCUACUUGACUUAGAGUCUCAUACUACAUUUGUUUCUAGAGAUGUUAGUUUUAUGAAAAUUCUUUUCCUUUUCUUAACACUUCUCACUCUGAUCAUCCACCUAUUAUUUCCCAACCUCCACCUAUUUUUACUGCACCUAAACUAGAUUCACUUGAUUCUUCAACCUUUUCUCCUACUUUACCUACACCUACCAUUGAUCCUUCUCCAACUCCAUUAGUUUCAUCUGUUGAACCACCUACAAACAACACUUGUCCACCCCCUAUACUUUUCGUUCCAUACCAUCUGCACCCAUUUCUGAAACUACAUAUACUGUUUCUUCAUCUUCACCUUAUCUUCGAAGAUCAACCAGAACUAGAAAUGCACCUACCUACCUCCAAGACUUCCACUGUCAACAGGCUUCUUUGGCCUCAACAUCACAAUCUUUGGCUCAGGUAACUCCAUCUUCUACUUGUCUAUUCCCUUUUACGUAACUACUUGACCUAUCAGCAUUUCUCUCCCACUUUUCAAGCCUUUUCUUCAUCUCUCUCUACUGUUUGUGAGCCAACCUCCUAUUCUCAAGCAAUCAAAGAUCCCGAUUGGUGUAAAGCCAUGAAUGCUGAGUUAGAUGCUUUGGAACAAAACAAAACUUGGAUCCUUUCAGACCUUCCUCUUGGUAAAGAAUCUAUAGACUGCAAGUAUGUAUAUAGAGUAAAAAGAAACUCAGAUGGUAGUGUGGAAAGGUUGAAGGCCCGAUUGGUGGCUAAGGGUUACACCCAACAAGAGGGGAUUGACUAUACUGAAACAUUCUCAUCAGUGGCUAAAAUGGUGACUAUCCGCUAUCUUUUAUCUAUAGCUACCAUUCAUGGAUGACAUUUACAUCAAUUUGGUGUAAAUAAUGCCUUCCUCCAUAGUGACUUGGAAGAAGAAAUCUUUAUGAACAGCCACCAAGAUAUUCUAAAGGUGGUCCUCACCAAGUCUGCAAACUUCAAAGGAGUUUUUAUGGAUAAAAACAAGCAUCAAGACAGUUGUAUGCCAAACUUACUGCUUGCAUGUUAAAUUUUGGUUUUUCCCAAUCCAAAGCAGAUUAUAGUUUAUUCAUUAAAGCUACUGAUAGCUCUUUUACAGCUCUUCUAGUGUACGUUGAUGAUAUUUUGAUAGCCAUUGACUCUCUUGAUUCUAUAGCUGCUCUCAAAAUUUUUCUCAAUGACAAUUUUAAGAUCAAAGAUCUUGGCCCUCUUCGAUUUUUUCUUGGCACUGAGGUGGCCAGAUCUUCUAAGGGAAUUCAUAUUUAUCAGCGCAAGUAUGCCUUAGAAAUACUUGCAGACUCUGGCUAUUUGGGAUCUAAACCAGUCAAGGUUCCAAUGGACCAAAAUUUGAAGCUCAACAAAGAUUUUGGUCUUGAGUUUCAGGACCGCUCUUCCUAUCAUAGAUUAGUUGGAAGGCUUCUAUACUUGACAAUAACUCGCCUUGAUCUUAGCUUUGCAGUCCACACACUCAGUCAAUUCAUGUCAAGGCCAAUCACGACUCACAUGGCUGCUGCUCACAAGGUCUUAAGGUACCAAAAGGCUGCUCCUGGCCAAGGACUCCUUCUUGCUGCUCACUCUUCUUUGCAAUUAGUUGCCUACUGUGACUUUGACUGGGCUUCUUGCCCUGACACUCGGAGGUCAGUCACAGGAUACUGCAUUCACCUUGGCAACUCACUGGUUUCAUGGAAAUCUAAAAAGCAGACAGUGGUUUCAAGGUCCUUUGCAGAAACCGAGUACAGGUCUAUGGCUGCAACAUGUGUUGAAAUCACUUGGCUUAAAUUUUUUCUUGUUGACUUUCAUGUUCUUCAUCCACAAGCUGCCCACCUUUUCUGUGGUAAUUAGGCCGCCAUCCACAUCGUUGCAAAUCCAGUUUUUCACGAGUACACCAAACACAUAGAAUUGGAUUGCCAUCUCAUUUGAGAUAAAAUCAUGGAUGGUUCCAUCUCCACAUCUCCUGUUCCCACCCAUCUACAAGUUGCUGACCUUCUCACUAAGGCUUUCCCUUCAACUCUCCUCUCACCUACUCAAGAUGUGAAUAGUAUACUACUAUUCUCCAUCUUGUGGGGGGUAUUGCAGCAUACCAUUCCUAGUACUGUUGUUGCUGCUACAAGUCAUGCUCAUUCAGAAGAUGGGUGUCGUCCACUUUCUCUAAAUUAGUUACAUAAAGUUGGACCUAAUUAGUCUAGAAUAUUCUUUCCCCUUUCUAUUUCUGUUUUACUUGUUUUGCUGUACACCAAUUAUUGGUUCUGUUAUUUUUCUUGUUAGGAUAGUGGUAGCUGAUUCUGUGAUGCAGACAACUCAAAUUGUUGUAUAUAUAUUUUUGGUUUUCUUGUACAAAAGGAAUGAUUGAAUCGAAUACAGAAGAAAAAUUUUCCUCCUCUUGCCUUCUUUUUCCUUUUCUUACAGUUAUACUUUGAUUUGUUUUUAUUUUGUUGCUCUUGUACAUUGAUUUGGUUAACUUUUUUUGGCCUGGUUGGAUGGAAGUGUGUAGGCAAUCAAGUGUGUUCUGACUUGUGUAAUUAAAUAACCAAUGUGACGAUGUGUCAAGAUCUCAAGGACCCGCGCCCAGUCGACUGGUGGAGGUUGAGUAGUCUGUAGUGAGAAGGCGGCAAUGAGGCACUAAUAACUUCUGUUAUCCACUCUGUGGACGUAAUCUUAGACAUCAUAGCUAAGUUGGGUGAGUGGCUCAACAACUUAAUGCUGUAUUUUUGUUUCCAGGCUAUAUUUAUGUACCUCUGUCUCUAGUACUUAUGUUGUUACAGACCUGUUGGACAAGUUCUGUAACCAUUAUGGAUAUUUGUCAUUAUGUGAAGGUUUUGAAGUAUGUCUAUG